UACGGAGGGGGCUAGCGUUGUUCGGAAUUACUGGGCGUAAAGCGCACGUAGGCGGCUUUGUAAGUUAGAGGUGAAAGCCCGGGGCUCAACUCCGGAAUUGCCUUUAAGACUGCAUCGCUUGAACAUCGGAGAGGUAAGUGGAAUUCCGAGUGUAGAGGUGAAAUUCGUAGAUAUUCGGAAGAACACCAGUGGCGAAGGCGGCAUCCUGGACCGGUAUUGACGCUGAGGCGCGAAAGCCAGGGGAGCAAACGGG
rnacentral:rRNA from 1 species